rnacentral:lncRNA from 1 species
CCACAAAAAGUGAAAAAGUGCAAAAAAGUGGUGGUGGUUAUACUACUCACAGGCAGGAGUGUAGACUGUGUAAGGGAGGAGGUGGUGGUUAUACUACUCACAGGCAGGAGUGUAGACUGUGUAAGGGAGGAGGAGGUGGUUAUACUACUCACAGGCAGGAGUGUAGACUGCAUAGAGCUUUACAAGUGGGAGUGUCAAUUCUAUAACAACUAUGCAAAGUUGUUGGACAGUUUCUACCAGAGUUAUUUCUAUGUCUA